AUCCAGCUGAUGAGUCCCAAAUAGAAUGAAACACAAGUCCUGGAU
rfam:Schistosoma haematobium scaffold264_6, whole genome shotgun sequence.